rnacentral:rRNA from 1 species
AUUGAACGCUGGCGGCAUGCCUUACACAUGCAAGUCGAACGGUAACGGGCCUCUGGGUGCCGACGCGUGGCGAACGGGCGAGUAAGAAACCGGAACGUGCCCGACCGUGGGGGAUAAGGAGGCGAAAGCUUAGCGAAUAUCGCACACGAUCGACGGAUGAAAGGAGGGGAGGGGAAGGGAUUGCGCGGGCGGAGGGGGCGAGGGCGGAGUAGAUAGAUGGUGGGGGAAAAGCUUAGCAAGACGACGAUCUGUAGCUGAUCUGAGAGUGUGAUGAGCCACACUGGAACUGAGACACGGCCAAGACUCCUAAGGGACGCAGCAGUCGGGAAUUUUAGACAGUGGGCGCAAGCCUGAUCCAGCCAUGCCGAGUGUAGGAUGAAGGCCUUCGGGUUGUAAACUGCUUUUGUGCGGAACGAACAGCCUUCUUUUGAUACAAGGGGGUCGUGACGGUACCGUAAGAAUAAGCACCGGCUAACUACGUG